rnacentral:lncRNA from 1 species
UUUUAUGGUAUUUUGGAUUAUGGAUACUAUCCGGACUGAACCCGAACCUAAAUGGAUAUCCGAUAGAAUUCGAAACAUUUACCAAACAUUCAAAAUCCCAAAAAGAACUUGUACCAAACAUGAUCACAAUUCUUAAUAUGUAUUCAAAAUACUAAGAUGUUACUGAACAUAUAAAUUAAUUAUUUGUUACAUAAAGGUUGAUAGUUGAAGGUGACAGUUGAAGCUUGAAAUUUUAGAUUUUUUUUUUAUUGAAUCAUGUUUCUCAUUUUAUGAAAACUUGAUUUUUGUUUUAUGCUUUCAUUUAUUUGGUUUUUUUAUUAAUAACUAUGUUUACCUUUCGUUUGAUUUUGAAUGAUCAUAUUUGAUGUUUC